GCUUUAUUUUUGGGUAGGUUUGGGACAGACUGCUCAAAGUCUGACUACACUUCCGGGUCUUAAGGCCUCUGUCAACUGCACGCACUGGAUUCCAAGCAUCAAGUUUGCUUUUAAAGGUGCUUUCUUUCUAUAUAUGUUUUUUGGCUGUUCUUUCGUUCUUCGAAGCGGAAAUUAAACUUUAUGAUUAAUGUGUUCUUUGGUUGCUGAGAAAUGUUAAGAGCUGUAGAAGGACAAUAAAGUUAGAGUUUUUUUGCUCUCUCUUAACCAUUUAGAUUUGCCAAUUUGCCAAAUAAAACAAUUACACCGGCAUCAUCUUCUUUCCGGGGACACUGAUGGUGUUAUUAUUCCGUGGGAGUUAAACUCUUGCAGAUCAAAAGUGGAGGCAAGUGUUACAGUUGCCCACAAUCACACAAGAAGGGGUUACAUGCAUAGUUGGAAUUAUUAUUUCUGAAACAGAUUCAAUCUUUGCAUCUACUUCUUCUGAUGGUGAAAGUAAAUUGUCAUGUCAGGAGACCCUAUCUGUUGGUUCUAAGCCUAUGGUGGCUCUUUCGCUGGCAGAAUUGAAUGGAAAUUCUGGCGCGGGUCCUUGCCAUGGGAGGACUGGAGAACAUGAUUCAUCUUUACUGCGGGGAGAGGACAGGAAGGGUUUCCAACUCUAAAUUUCUAAACCUACCCAUU